CCCAGUGAUGGUUAACGUGCCCGUGGAGCCGGACUGGGAUCCGGAGAAUUGUGAGGGGAUGCCUGAGGGUCUCCUGUCAUUCCAGUAGAUCACAGUGACAGGGGCAAUGCCUGGGACCUUCUGCUGGAACCAGGCAUACCAGCUGCCACUGCUAUCAGAGCAGGUGAUCCUGACCGUGUCUCCCACGUUGGCUGACACUGAGGAUGGCUGAUUCAGUGAUGCUGCCUGGACCAGGGA